rnacentral:sRNA from 1 species
CAGAUCUCGCUGUCAUGGUCUGCGGCAAGUAGGAAUGACUUCACCCUGCAGCUACCCAAACUGCACCUGGAGACCUUUGCAAUGGAGGCGCUCAAGGGCAGGCCAGAGGUGGUAGCAUGCCAGGCUAUGAUUAAAAGUUUCAUGGAUGUCUACCAGCUUGCAAGCACUAGAAUCAUGACAUUAGAGAAGGAAAUGACAUCUCAUCGAAGUCACAUUGCAGCCUUGAAAUCAGAACUUCACACAGCUUGUUUACGUGAAAAUGCAAGUUUACAAUCAGUUACAUUCAUCAUUUCAUUUAGAAGAGGUGGUUCACCCUGUAGUGAUUCUUCAUCUAUAGAAUGCGAAACAUUCCCCCAGGUGAUUCUGAUCAGCACUACUUUUGCACUUUGGAGCUAUGAUUGAGUAAAAUGAAAGUUACUUGAACACAAGUACUGUGACAUGGCAACCAAGAUGGCUACUGAGUGACACACAGGCAGGGAGCUUACACACCGUGGAUACCUGGACGACGGGAGGAUUCAGGUCCCAGGUGGGAUGGCGCCGGAUAGUGUGACAUUUCAUCACGUGCCUCCAAAUGGAUGGAAUUAUCAUGCUAAUGUCUGCAGAGAAGGAAGCACAGAUUAGGUGACUGUGGCUACUAUGAGGGCCAAGGAGGCCCUCCCACCCAUCCUGUGGGAUGCACCACCUGUGCUCACUAGGCCUAUGGAGAGGGGAGUGACUGGGGCACCUGCUCACCCCUGUACCAUGCCUGUUCUUCAGCUUCAGCUCUGGAUCCCCCAGAGAGGGACUGCUGCCUGCAUCUGGGUUCCUGGACAAACAUGCAGUCUACCAGCCAGCGUGUUCUCCAAAAAGAGGAAAAUGAGUGUUCUGCUCCCAAGAGAUCACGGCGUCCACCUGAGUCCCACCAGCCGAGUCAUUUGUCUGCUCCUGUAGCAUUUACCUUUAUAGUGCAAAAUCUCAGGGUGCUGGCAUUUCAGCCACAUGCAGGAGGUUGAUGCAUGGAUCUGUGGCGAAUGUCACCACCUGUGACAGAGCUCUUAUUUAUGAACUGAAGAACAUUCUCCAUCUUGGCCCUCUUGCCAGAAAAGUUAUUUCUCCACAGACCAACGGGAAGUUCCCUAAGUACUAUGAGACCUUGUCUUUGCCUAUAGCUGGCUGCAUUGGACAUGGAUUCCUGGCCGAAGUUCAUUAAAGAAGAUGAGGGAAAAUAAACACACAUGUACACGCACACCAGAUAAACUGCAUGCUUCCUUCUGCUGGGGACGCGCUGUAGGUGAGCAAGUGCACCAAGGACAAGGCGGCCACUGAUGAAAAGGAAGGGAAAAGAGACUUCAUUUCCAUACCCACUAACCACGCCAACAGAAGGCUUUGUGAAGAAGGAAGUAAAAGCUAUCGGUAGGAGUUAGAAAAAAACAUUUCUAGUUACAAGAACAGCAGAAAAAGACCUGAACUUCAGAGUGGACCACAAAUGAAUAUGAAUUAAUAACACAGAUCUCUUUUCAAAAGCUAACACAAAAUGAGGAUGUGUUUUUUGCAAAAGCAGUUGUUCUUGCCACUGGGCUUAUGCUUGUCAUUCUUUCAUGUGUCACAGCCAGACCUAGGAAAUUCCCUGGAAAGUCCCCUCCAUCACACACCUGCAGUUUUUCCAUUUGAGUGUAAUUCUGUUGGACCUUGAAAGACUUUUUGAUCUUUGGGACGCUCUUAUCACCAAAUGUAUCUUUCUGCAGGAAGAAGACAGAAGAAAGGGGUGGACUAUGAGAUGGGAGCCUGGGUCCCAAUUUCAGUUCAACCAUUACCAACCAGGUGGCUUUAGGCAAGUCUGGUCAUUUCCUUUGCCUCAGUGGCUUUCUAUAAAAUGGAAUUCUGUAGGGAUGAUGAAAGCGAAAACGUUAGCCACUAUGAUUGCUAGUGCUCAAGAAAUGAUUCCUUCCUGCCUGCCUGCCUCAGUUUUCCAUCUGUAAACAAGGAUUCAACUAGAACAUCUUUGAGGUUCCUUGAGCUCUAACACUCUGUGAUUCUGUUGGCAGCACCUUAAGAAAUUUACAACAAACACUCCAGUGAGUCUUAAUCUAUUAGAUCCCAUUCAGUUCUAAUAGUGUUGUGAUUUUGACUUUGUAGCCUAACGUUUAUUUUCUUUCUUCCUGAUUUUUUAUUUAUAUAUUCUAUUUAAUAGUUUUUGCUUUUUCAAGUUGCCACCAAUUCUUUGUAGAGUAAGAAAAAAGUAUAACUAACUGGAGGAAAGAAUGCAUUAGCGGAAAGCCAAGGAAUUAUAACACUAAUGCUAAUACAAUACUACUGCUAAUAAAAAUAACUGCCUUUAUUGAA